CACCUCAAUGAUGCUGGUCUCUCUUUAAGUACCACUAAUUUUUUAGUUCCAGUUAUCCAGCAUCAAGUUUCCCAGUAACACAGAGGUUUCACUUUGGAAGCAAGCUAGUAAGUAGCACCCUUCUCUGGUCUCUGCGUUAUAUCCUUCCUCCAGGGUGCUGUUCUCCUGUUGACCACGACUGCGUUUUCAGCCCUAGCUAAAUUGAAGAGUUUUGGAUUAAUGGCAUUGGCAGAGAAGAUUUAAAGAACAGCCCAAUAUUGGCUCUGUCAUGUGGUUAUAAGUGGUCAUACUUAUGCAGAUUUAUAAUGAAAAGAAGCAGUGAAAAAUACAAAAUGAAUAGUAUGAAGAGAAAAGGAGAACCAGAAAGUGUAAUGGAGCUAAGUCCAUGCACAAACAGAUAAAAGUUUGAAGAAAGGCUGAUACUAAAUGGAAUAAAGAGCGUAGUGACUUCUCUCAGCCACUCAACCAGCCAAAGUUUCAACCUGUGAAAAGGAAUUAAAGAAAAACAGAACUGAAGGAAAUGUUCAGAAAGCUAGUGCAAAUGUAACUGAAGGAGGGGACAAAGUUUCAUCCCCAUGAAUUAACAGAACUUGGCAGCAUUGGCCACAUCUUUUUGGCUUUAGAGACAAGGAUACAAGAAAGGAGUGGUGGAAUCUCCCCCUGGUAAGGAAAGCUGCUGACGCCUCAUAUGUCAGAGGUGUCUGUGUUGGGUGGUCUUAUGUCAAUUUGACAUAUAAACUAGAGUCCUUGCAAACGAGGAAUUCUCAAUUGAGAAAAUGCCUCCAUGGCAUCCAGCUGUAGAGCAUUUUCUUAAUUAAUGAUUAAUGAGGGAAUGUCCAACUCAUUGUGGGUAAUGCCUUCUCUGGGUUGGUGGUCCUAGAUUUCAUAAGAAAACAGGCUGAACAAGAGAAAGCCAAUAAACAGCAUACUCCAUGGCUUCUGCAUCUAGGUAUCUGGGAUUGGGAUAAUUACAGGUGUAGGGCAGGCUGAUUUCUGUGUUUGUUUGUUUGUUUGUUUUUUAGGUGGGUGUUUUAUUUCUUGGUUUUUGUUUUCUCUCUGCAUUUUCAGGAACUGUAAUGGCUAUGUGUUGCCUAGUAGAAAAUUCUCUUUGGACCUUUUGUUUUAUCCACUUAGGGUUCCACUUAGGUAAAAUGUGUUGCUGGAUAUUGGGAGCUGACAAUUAGGAUUGGGGAUAGGCUAGAUGUCUGAAGUGGAUCACAGGAGAAAGGAAAGCAGAGUUCAGUCAAGAUCUGCUUUCUUUGUCUCCUUGGAAUUGGGGAAGAUAGUGAAGAGAGGCCAUUCUAGAAGGUAUACUAUAUCACUGGGAAUGAGACUGGUAGGUUAGAUCUAGAGGAACUGUGGGAGAGGGGAAGACCUACAGAUGGCUUCCCUGUUCACUGGCAGGAGUGGUCUGUCAGUUAGCAGGGAGUGCCUUCUGGUGUUGGGGGUCUAGGAUGAAGCAACAAGUGUGGAGAGGGUGGUUAGAAGAGGAAGGUCUGUGUGAUUUCCAGGAGAUGAAGGCUAAGCGGGAAGAAUGGCUAUGGCUGUUAUUCUGUUGUAGAAAUAGGGAUGCAACUCAAGGAUUGGGCUUGGAGGAGAGGAAGGAGUGGCGAAGGUCUUCAGUUAGCCUGUUUCCCCAGCCUGCUCAGCUGGAGUGUUCACAAUGAAUGCCUGCUGAUGUUGGAGGUUGGGAUGGUGGAAUGUAUUGAGGGAAAGAAGGUUGGAGAUGAUCAUUGUGAUUCCCUGGGAUGAGGUCAGAGAGGAUAGGGAGACCACAGCAGGAUUCAGAAGUUGAAGAUGAGUCUUGGGAGACUGGAUCUGGAGAACAGGAGAGAUGUGGAUCACAAUCUACUUUUGGGAAGAAGGCACAGUCACAGUCUGAACAUAGUAAAACAAAACUUCAACGGUGUAAAUAGCUCAAUGUCCAAUUAUCUUGGACUCAUGAUCUUCUGGGGUCUUCCAAGAUGUUUGCACCACUUCUUCAGCUCUGCCUUCUGCAGCGCACACAGCUUGUCUUCUAGGCUCCGUUUACCUCCACUCCACUGCUACAGCUGUUCUUGGCAGUCAUUCCAUUUUACUCGCAUCUCUAAUAUGUUCAGGCUUCUUGCUGCAACUGGGCCGCACUUUCACUAAUAGCCUCUAUGAUAGGUUGUAUAUACUUGGCCCAGGGAGUGGCACUAUUAGAAGGUGUGGCCCUUUUGGAGUAGGUGUGUCACUGUGGGUGUGGGCUUUUAGCUGCUUGGGAGCCAGUAUGCUGCUGAAAGCCUUCAGAUGAAGAUGUAGAACUCUCAGCUUCUCCUGUACCAUGCCUGCUUGGAUGCUACCAUGUUCCCACCUUGAUGAUAAUGAUAAUGGGAUGAACCUCUGAACCUGAUACACUGACCUAUGAGGAUGUGUAUGUGAAAUUCACUCAUGAAGAGUGGGCUUUGUUGAAUCCUUCCCAGAAGAGUCUCUACAAAGAUGUGAUGCUGCAAACCUGCAGGAACCUCAUUGCUAUAGGCUACAAAUGGAACAACCAGAAUAUUGAAGAACAUUGUCAAAGUUCUGGAAAACAUGAAAGGUAUAUCAUCUAUCACUCAGAAUACAAGCCAUUUGAGCAUAAGGGGCAUGGAAAGAUGCAGUGUACCUCUCCCUCUCCUACUACAGUUAGAAGAUAUAUAGUAUAGACUUUAUGAAUGUGACAUGAAUUUACAGGUCCUUGGUGUUCCAACUACAGUGGGAAUGCAUCAACAGACUUACAGUGGAGAAAAGCUUUAUAGGUAUCAGGAAUGUGGGAAUUCUUCUGUUUAUCCUGGUUCACUUUGCACAUGUAGUGUGAAUCACACUAUAAGAAAAUGUUUCGAAUGUACUCAGUGUUGUAAAGCUCUGAGUUCUCUUCAAAGACAUGAAAAAAAUUCAUCUGGGAGAAGGAAUUGAUAAUUGUGAGCCAUGUACUAAAGGCUUUAACCAUCACAGGUAUCUUCACACACACAAAAGAACCAAUAGUGAAGAGGAUCCCUAUGAAUACAAUCAGUGUGGUAAAGCCUUUGGAUCUGGUUCUUCCUUACAUCAAAGACCUCAUUUGGAAGGAGCUUCCUAUAAAAAUAAUCAGGGUGUAAAAGUCUUUGCACAUCACAGUUGUCUUCAAGUACGCAGAAUUCAUACUGGAGAGAAACCUUAUGAAUGUAAUCAGUGUGGUAAAGCCUUUGCAAGUCUCCAUAAUCUUAAAAUACAUAAAAUAAUUCACACUGGAGAGAAACCCUAAGCAUGUCAUCAAUGUGGUAAAGCCUUUGCACAUACCAUUUAUCUUCAGAGGCAUGAAAGAAGUCAUAUAGGAGACAGACCAUAUGAGUGUAAUCGGUGUGGUAAAGGCUUUACACAUUUUGGGGUCUUCAAAACCAUCUGAAAAAUCAUACUGGAGAGAAACCCUAUGAAUGUAAUCAAUGUGGUAAAGCUUUUGCACGUACCAUUUAUCUUCAAAGGCAUGAAAAAAGUCAUACAGAAAACAAACGUUAUCAAUGUAAUCAGUGUGGUAAAGUCUUUGAAAGUCAAAGUAAUCUUCAGAAACAUGAAAGAAGGCAUAAUGGAGAGAUAACUUAUGGAUGCAAUUGAUACACUAUAAGCCUUUGCAUGUUUCAUUCUUCUUCAAAGGAAUGAAAGAAUUCCUACUGGAGAGAAGCACCACGAAUCUAGUAAAUGCAGUAAAGUCUU
rnacentral:lncRNA from 1 species